UGACCUCAAAUCAGGCAAGACUACCCGCUGAACUUAA
rnacentral:rRNA from 1 species